CUCGCUCUCCGAGUGCGCAAGCGCAGCGCACCGAGUGGACAUUUUGGUCUUUGUCCGCGGUUAAUAUGAUCCUCUGUUGAAGCAAGAAGACAAACUGUAUGGUGGAGAAAGAAGUGGGAAGGAUCUGCGCGGAAGAAGCCUGAGAAGAUGAUGCACAGAUAGAGAGGCACCAGGACUUGAGAGGCACCAGGACUUGGGAGGCAUGUUGAUCCAUCUCCAGGAAAGACUGAGAAAAAGAGCGUUGAAUAUAAGAAAAAAUACUUCCUCUGUUCUCAGAUCGUAUUUGUUUUAAGGCCACACCUUUUUGAAGUUUUCAGUUUGAAACACAACCUGGACUGAAAUCAUGAGGGAGGUUGUGUAGGAAAGAAUCAUCAAGGGACUUAGUUGGGAGCUUCUCUACCACAGCUUACUCCUUAUGGUAUUAACCCCCUUUAAGUGUAAAUGUCUUUGGUUUAAAACGUUUGUACCUCAUCUGUUACCAGAGUGUUCAUACUGGAGAGAAACCCUAUGAAUUUACUGAAUGUGGGGGAACU
rnacentral:lncRNA from 1 species